AUAACAGGCUGAUACCGCCCAAGAGUUCAUAUCGACGGCGGUGUUUGGCACCUCGAUGUCGGCUCAUCACAUCCUGGGGCUGAAGUAGGUCCCAAGGGGAUGGCUGUUCGCCAUUUAAAGUGGUACGCGAGCUGGGUUUAGAACGUCGUGAGACAGUUCGGUCCCUAUCUGCCGUGGGCGCUGGAGAAUUGAGGGGGGCUGCUCCUAGUACGAGAGGACCGGAGUGGACGCAUCACUGGUGUUCGGGUUGUCAUGCCAAUGGCACUGCCCGGUAGCUAAAUGCGGAAGAGAUAAGUGCUGAAAGCAUCUAAGCACGAAACUUGCCCCGAGAUGAGUUCUCCCUGAGACUUUAAGUCUCCUGAAG
rnacentral:rRNA from 1 species